UUGUUUCCACCUGGGUAGAACUGAACUCAUAAUGAACUCAUAAGCAGAAAACAUGCACAGGGGGAGGCAGGUGACAGGAAGAGGGUGGGAGAGUGUCACAGAGAGAGGAGAUUUCUGAGAACUACUGCAAACAAACAGCCAGGAAAACUUAGAACGGAUCAGAAAGGGCUGCUCAGAGUCUGUUGCAACUCAUAAAGUCACUGAGCUAACAGAAAUCAAGCCUGGAAGCAAGUAGUUGUCCUGCAGGCAAAUAACUUCUGUUAGUAUUUAUGCACAUUUCAUUUAUCUGUUUUGCCAGCAAUAGCACAUGCCCAUGAUCUUUAACAACAUUAUUGGUCAGAAAGUCAGGCAAUGGAUCAGCACUGAAAGUAUUAGGUAUAGAGUCUCUGAGCUUCAGGAAGCUCUGAGAAAACCCUGCCAGAGAACUUCAGAACUAGAUGUGUUUUAUCAACCAUACAGAGAAAACUUUUUCUACCUCUUCUACAUUCUUCUCAAGAAUCUAACUAGCUCUCUUGCUACAGCACAUUGUGCAAGUUCAUGAUGAAGCACUAAUGGGAAGUUCCUUUCAGAGUCUGAGCGUUUGGAGGAUUUUUACCUGUCACAAAGAUUGACUCAUGCUCACUCUUUCAGCUUCUGCCUCCUCUGCCUCCUUUACCCUGAGUGCCAGCAGAGGAUGGAGAAUGGGGGUUGCGGUCAGUCCGUAACAGCUCCUCUCUGUCAUUCUUUCCUCCUCCUACUUCUCCCUUGCUCCAGAGGGGGUUCUUCCAUGGGCAGAAAAUCAAGAUAAGUUUACUCCUGAAUGGGUGUCCAAGGGCCACAGCUUCCUUAUUGACCAAAACAAUGAGUGCAAUCUCACAACCUCUUUGUUUUCCAGCCUACCUCCCCAAACAGUCUUUGCUGUGGACCCACCACCCAGGUUCUUCGUUUACGUGUUAGAAAUUAAUUUCUGUGAGUAAUAGUUCAUGUGCACACUCAGGACAUUGGCAGCCCUGUUGUGUACCUCUUGCCUAAGGCCAAGGAGCCCCAUGUCAGUUUCAGCCUCUUCAGCAGUCCAUGCCCAGCCCUGGCCCUAGUGAGAUAUGAACUGAUGCUGCAGCAUGCCUUGUCUCUAGCCCUAGCCCUGUCUCCUUGUGGGACGCUGGUCCUGGUACCUGCCUGUCCCCUCAAAGUGCCCAGGGCUGCUGGUGGGCCCCACUGGCACCCCAAGCUCUGACUACUCUGUUCAGGGCCUGGAGGAUAAGGGCACAUGCUGCCUGCUCUCAGGUCACCCCAGCUCUUCUGCUGGAGUCAGAAGCCUCCAUCCUGCCAUGAUACCUGAUAGUAUGAAUGCAAAGGUACUUCUUUCCCUUCAUUUUUAAUUUGUAUUCUCCUUAAUAGAUCAAAAACUCUAGAAGUUUAUUUUGCAUAUUCAAAACCUAAACACACAAAUUCUGUGUGCAGCUGUACCUGGCUGCAACCAAUAUGUUUUUGUUUGAAUUGUCAUAUGCCUGAGGCUUUAAUGAUGUUUUUGAUCUUCUGCGUAGUUGCUUUCCUUCGUAAAUCAUCCAUCAAAAGUUAUGUUUUUGUACAGGAUAGUAACAAACUAUGUUACUAUU